rnacentral:rRNA from 1 species
GAUGAACGCUGGCGGCGUGCCUAAUACAUGCAAGUCGAGCGAACAGAUGAGGAGCUUGCUCCUCUGACGUUAGCGGCGGACGGGUGAGUAACACGUGGAUAACCUACCUAUAAGACUGGGAUAACUUCGGGAAACCGGAGCUAAUACCGGAUAAUAUAUUGAACCGCAUGGUUCAUUAGUGAAAGACGGUUUUGCUGUCACUAAUAGAUGGUUCCGCGCCGCAUUAGCUAGUUGGUAAGGUAACGGCUUACCAAGGCAACGAUGCGUAGCCGACCUGAGAGGGUGAUCGGCCACACUGGAACUGAGACACGGUCCAGACGCCUACGGGAGGCAGCAGUAGGGAAUCUGCCGCAAUGGGCGAAAGCCUGACGGAGCAACGCCGCGUGAGUGAUGAAGGUCUUCGGAUCGUAAAACUCUGUUAUUAGGGAAGAACAAAUGUGUAAGUAACUAUGCACGUCUUGACGGUACCUAAUCAGAAAGCCACGGCUAACUACGUG